CAAACUUUGGGCGCAAAGCACGACGUGGCAGACGAGGAACCACACUAGAACGGGCCACGCCUACCCAAGAUUUACGAGGCCGUCCUUUCCCUCAUGCAAUCGCAAUGGGAAAAGGAGGAAACUAAGGCUCGGCCUCCCCUACUGAGCCUGGUUGGCGGAGGGGAGUCUUAAAGCCGCCGCCAUCUGGAGAACCAGCUUUACAAGGACCCUCACUCACUACUCUUCGGCGGCCCCAAAGCCUCUGGGGGGCCCUCUAUGGCCAUCACUUGCUCCUCGCCCAGGAAUCAUCUCAUGCCGCCGCCUCCCUCAGCCCUGGUGGAAGAAGCCAGCGCGGACCCCUGCCUCUCUGCCUCAGAAAGUCUUCGGAGGGAUGAUCCUCUGCUGACAAGCUGGGGGAAGUUGGCGUACAGAGACCCCCGUUUUGUUGCUCAUCCCAGGGAAAUCCCGGCCCCACUCCUGACCUCAGACUCACUUCCACCCUCAAGUGGAUCGAGGUGGGGGUAGCCAGGGGCGCUGUCUCCAGUGACAAGGUCUCUGGGACCCCUCAUGGGCUCAAGACCCCCUCCCCCAGGCAGCAGCUGUGUGACUCAUCACCACCCCCUCUGCACCUCGGGCCCCCCCACUACAGCCGCCCCACUCCCCGUCAGCGGCAGCCGGCUGCUGCGUCAGCCACUCACGCAGGGUGGUUAUUAAAGGAGAGAGACAUCAGCACCGAGCUCCCCUGCGCCCGCCGUCCAUGCGGGAGGGGCCACCCACCCACUGGAGCCCCAGACGCGGGCGCCACAUGCCCAGCCUGGGAGCAAUUCAGGCCCAUUCUUUCUGAUCUGCCCCCCCAGCCCCCAGCCCCAGCAGUCAGCGCGGGGGACGUUCUCUGCCCCAGAGCAGCCCUUGUAGGGGGGGAGUUGGAGGGGGUGCCUGGUAGUCACAGCGGCCCCUGCAUAAUUGCGUAAUUCUUGCCGCUCCCCCCAGCCCAUCGUUCCCUGGUUCUGUGAGCCUCUGCCUUUUCCUGGUUUUGCGAAGCGCCGUGUUCAUUCAUUCAUUCAUUCAUUCA